CCCACCCCCCAUCUAUAACCCCGCCCUCCAUCUCUAACCCCACCCUCCAUCUCUAACCCCACCCACCCCUGUACCAUGUCACCCUUACUGGGCCACCAGCAGUAUGCAUGUAAAUGAUGAUUAUAUAUCAGAGAAUAGAUCUAUAAACAUGUUAUUGAUCACUAGAGACGAGCUUCCUGUUUCUCCCAUUCUACCCUGUUUGAUCUCACUGGGGGAACAGAAGAGACUUUUGAUUGGAUGAUGAGGCAACGUUUGUUUACUAGGAAGUAAAAGCCUGGCGUCCGCCUGACUGACCCCCUCCUCCAGGUCAACUAGUUUAACCCCUGACCUUUAGAGUCAGCGGUGUCUCCAGCUAUAGAAUCUCCUGUUAUAUUUGUAAUUGUUUUAGAGAACAGGUGUUUUUUCUCUAUUUCCAUAGUAGUCAAUACAAUUUGGUAGAAAAUAAUUAUAAUAAUUCUGAAGAGUUUGACAGAUGAAUUUGAAUCCUCAGAUAUUUGUGUGUUUUUUUAAUGAGGAAUCGUUUUUGGACUAUUUGCAUGUUGCUGAGAAGAAAGAUAUCCGGAUGUUUGUUUUUAAAAAACAUUUUUUUUGAUAAAUUAAGCAUUUCCAGAUGUUUCCGAUGUUUGUAAGACUGUCUAUUUAAAUGUACUGGGCUCAGUUUGAUCGGUACGGGACUGUAAUACUGAUUUAAAACAUGAUUUAUUAUUGUCCGAUGCAAAAAUGUGCUGGGUGUUUAGUGUGCAGCUACUGUCCAAGCUGUCACAGAGAGGUAACCAUGGAGACGGGUUCUGGGUGUUUAGUGUGUAUCUACUGUCACAGAGAGGUAACCAUGGAGACGGGUUCUGGGUGUUUAGUGUGUAUCUACUGUCACAGAGAGGUAACCACAGAGACGGGUUCUGGGUGUUUAGUGUGUAUCUACUGUCACAGAGAGGUAACCAUGGAGACGGGUUCUGGGUGUUUAGUGUGUAUCUACUGUCACAGAGAGGUAACCAUGGAGACGGGUUCUGGGUGUUGUUUAUCUCAGAACCCAGAAGUUGAGCGCUUGUCUUUUCCUCCCCGUUGCUCCUCCCACCUGAUCGAUCCACUAGUUACCAAAACCCUUCAAGUUAUUUAUCUGAUGUGUAUUAUGACUCAGUAUGAAAUGAACCCUAAUAAAGCUUUAUACAUAACAUAUGGUGGUGGUGAUGAUGAUGAUGAUGAUGAUGAUGGUGGUGAUGAUGAUUAUGAUGAUGAUGGAUCUUUGGCAUGGAGGUGAAUCUGUGCUUCUAUCUGAUAAAAUACUAAUUAUAAAGAGACUGAGUGUUUUUAAAAUCGCACCAGCAUGCUUCAGGACGUUCUAGAACGAGGCUUCAGGAUGUUCUAGAACCAGGCUUCAGGAAGUUCUAGAACCAGGCUUCAGGAUGUUCUAGAACCAGGCUUCAGGAAGUUCUAGAACCAGGUUUGAGGACGUUGUAGAACCAGGCUUCAGGACGUUCUAGAACCAGGCUUCAGGAUGUUCUAGAACCAGGCUUCAGGAUGUUCUAGAACCAGGCUUCAGGAAGUUCUAGAACCAGGUUUGAGGACGUUGUAGAACCAGGCUUCAGGAUGUUCUAGAACCAGGCUUCAGGACCUUCUAGAACCAGGCUUCAGGAAGUUCUAGAACCAGGCUUCAGGACGUUCUAGAACCAGGCUUUCAGGAUGUUCUAGAACCAAGCUUCAGGAUGUUGUAGAACCAGGCUUCAGGAAGUUCUAGAACCAGGUUUGAGGACGUUGUAGAACCAGGCUUCAGGAUGUUCUAGAACCAGGCUUCAGGAUGUUCUAGAACCAGGCUUCAGGAAGUUCUAGAACCAGGUUUGAGGACGUUGUAGAACCAGGCUUCAGGAUGUUCUAGAACCAGGCUUCAGGACCUUCUAGAACCAGGCUUCAGGAAGUUCUAGAACCAGGCUUCAGGACGUUCUAGAACCAGGCUUUCAGGAUGUUCUAGAACCAAGCUUCAGGAUGUUGUAGAACCAGGCUACAGGACGUUGUAGAACCAGGCUUCAGGACGUUUUAGAACCAGGCUUCAGGACGUUCUAGAACCAGGUUUUCAGGAUGUUCUAGAACCAGGUUUUCAGGAUGUUCUAGAACCAGGCUUCAGGAAGUUCUAGAACCAGGUUUGAGGACGUUGUAGAACCAGGCUUCAGGAUGUUCUAGAACCAGGCUUCAGGACGUUCUAGAACCAGGCUUCAGGACGUUGUAAAACCAGGCUUCAGGACGUUCUAGAACCAGGCUUCAGGACGUUUAAGCUGUGAUGGAACCUGACCUUCAAUCUAUCAGAAACCUUGUCGUUUUAACUCUUGAGAGACUGGAGGAGGACGAGGAGGAGGAGGAAGAGGAGGGUGUGUUUUCUAGCUGUCAAUAGACAAGCUAACUGCAAUAAUUUCCCUCCGAUGCUCCCAGAACUGAGAGAGGGUUUCCAAGGCUGUGCUUUUGACAUUGUAUUAUUGCUGAACAUUAUAAUGAUCAAACAUUGUCCUGAAGGAUGUUCCCUGUCAUUGAAAAUAAACUUUUUUUUAUUCCUGA